rnacentral:rRNA from 1 species
UUAAACUGAAGAGUUUGAUCAUGGCUCAGAUUGAACGCUGGCGGCAGGCC